rnacentral:rRNA from 3 species
UUAAAUUGAAGAGUUUGAUCAUGGCUCAGAUUGAACGCUGGCGGCAGGCCUA